CAUUCAGAUACAAGCUUCUCCUGCCCCCACUGUGGAACAACUGCCCAGCUGAGGAGUUUCAAGCAGAACCAGAGGAUGGCAACAAUGGCAGAAAUAGCCAGCUUCCAGUCAGCCAAAGUACCGGGGCUAGGCAGCAUGUGUGAGAAACACCUUCAGCCCCUGGGAUCCUUCUGCAAAGGGGAUAAAAAUCUAAUUUGCUAGACUUGCACAGUGUCCCUGCCUCACCAAGCACAUACUGUGGUCUCCAUGGAGGAGGCUGCCUUGGAUUACAAGAAGUGCUCCAGAGCGUGCCGGGUGGUGUGUUGCUUUCAUAACCAGGAAGAGGAGCUUGCUAAGACUUGAAAUGGGUUGGUGCCUGUCUCCACAGCAAAAUGCAGGUGUGAUAUACAGCACAGAAACAGACAGAAAAUCAGAGGCAGAAGAUUGUAUCUGCGUUUCUUCAAGAACGCCAAGUAGUACGUGAAAAGGAAAGACUCCUGCUCUCCCAGCUAAAAAAGAUAGACAAUGACAUUUUAAAUAGACAUAAGAAAUAUACUGCUAAACUCUCUGAGGACAUGUCCCAUAUCAAUAAGCUGAUCUGUGAGAUGGAGGAGAAAUGUGAGCAGCCACCAAGUGAAUUCCUGCAGGACAUCGAAAGCACAUUGAACAAAUGUGUGGCUUCUUACUCCUAAUCAUCCUCCACAGUCCUGGAAGGGAUUUGGGAAAUUGGGACCGAAUUAACAAAGGACAUUGGUACCACCUGGAAAGAAUACUUGGCUCCUCCUGCCUCUUCCUCAGCCUCCAAAAUUUUGGAAGGGGUUUGGGCAGUAGGGAGCAGCUUUGUGCAGAACGGCAGGAGCACCUGGAGUGGGUAAGUGACCUUUUUUUGUUCUUUCCCAGGAGAAUACUUCAAAAUUCCAGGAUCUAAAAUGAAAAGGUGUUUAUAUUUUCUAAGUACUAUAUUUCCUCGUGUACCACACACUGCUUUUCUCAAAAAAUCAGCCCUCCAAUAUUGGGAUGCAUGUCUUAAGCAGGAAAGCUCAUUUCCAUGCUGGAAAGAAAGCUGAGGGUUCUGUAACGGUUGCUGUAAGCUCUGCUUCCCUCUUGGCUAUGAGGGAGGGCAUGAGUGCACUCUGCAGCAGUAGAGCUGCUGUUUUAAUUGUUCCACAGUCACUGCCAAAUUGGCAUCAGUUCUUGACUUAGCAGCCAGGCUGAAGAUUGUAUAUUGCUCUUACAGUCACCAGUCAGAUAUGUCUCUGGAAAAAAAAUCUUUUGCUUUUUUCUAUCUUCCCACAGCAAGGUGUGUGUCCUAUUUGGGUAUGCGCAGUGUGCGAGAGAAAACAGCAAGUUCCAGAAAGUUGCUUUAAAACUUUUUUUUUUUUAAAUAGAAAUAUUUUCUUUUCUCACCCUCCUCCCCCCCACUUUAUUACCAAUGAACGUAGUAAAUUGAAUAAAGUGUAUUUUUCUUAUUUUGGUAAAGAAAUAAAGAAAUGGUAUCCACCAUUUUACACGUUUCCCAUUCACCUCAGACAUGAUGAGGUCAGUGGUCACAGAGAAGCAUACACUUGGAACAGUUUCAGAAAGAGAAGGGGAUUUCCAUGCUGGAAAUCUAGGCUGCUCAAAAGCACACAACAGCUGUUACACUGUGCCAGUUGUGUCUGCAUGAGCAAGUAGCGGUACAACUGAGCUAAAUCACCCACUCGCGAUGGGUAGAGGGUGCAAGCAGGUGCAUGUGCACCCCCUGAGCGUGGCGGUGCACCCCUGCCCAGCGAGAGGCGCUGCUGGUGGCAUCUGCGGGUGGUCGCUGACCACCCAUCAUCGCUCACCACUGCCCCCCUGACAGCACUGCUGCCACCACCUGCGGGACCUCAUCAUGAAAUCACCCCAACUUGAAGUCUAAAUGAAGCAGGGUUAAAGUUGGAGCAGUUUUGCUCUUUCUUUGUAAUGCUAGGGGAUCUUGCCUAUAUAACUGUUACAGCAUAACAGUUAUUAUUGUGAGUGGAACAGCUUCUCCUCCUCCUCCCCUUUUGAAACUGCUCCUUUGUCUGUACCCAGGAUUUGCUCUGUUCAGAUCCAGUGUCAUGUUCAGUGGGAAGGGAGUGGCAACCCGAGGUGUUAGGGGCACAGCCCAGUCUCUAGGAAAGGUUUGAUAGCAGCAGUGACAAACUCCUUCAGCCACAGAGCAGCUCAGGGAGCCUCCUUCCUCCAGCUCUGUGUUUUCAAGGUAGUGAGAGGGAAAGUCCCUUUUCUGGAAACAGAGAUGGGUCAGUGGCAGACAGAAUAGAUGAGCUAGGCCAGGGUGGAGUGCACAAACACACAAUGGGAGAGAUUUUAUUUCCCUUUGGUUAUCUAAAUCAGCAUUUCUCAGUCCGUGGGUGGCAACUCAAAAGUGGGUCGCAAGAAAAUAUGAAAUGGUUAUGAACAAACUUUAAAAAUGGACUCUCCUUUACAGGAGAAAAGUAUGGGAAACUGGCAUUUCUCUGGCAGGCUGGUGAGUUCCAGCCUGUGAAGGGCUGCUUGGGUUCCCCCUGCCCCACACACCCAACCCCUGGUGGGCCUGGUGGGUCAAGAGUCAGGGGCACUGGGUCAGGACUGGCCAAAUGGGUCCUGGUGUUGGUGAUGCAUAGGGGGUACACAGGGGUGCACAUGCACCUCCUCAGAUCAGCUGUGCACCCCCUGAAAGAGCCAGCUGCGAAACUAGAAGUGCCACCGGCUCAGUGAUGGGCCACUAGGGGACCCCCCGGUCAGCUAUUGGCCACUGGGGGACCCCAAGUCCCCCCCCCCCCCACAUUUGCGAUUUGGUGCCCCUGCAGACUCGGGAGGCACCAAUCGUUCAUGGGUCCUGGUACAAAAAGGAUGAGAACCACUGAUCUAAAUGGCAUCUUUUUAGGUGUGUAAGUGGUGGUUUUGGCCCUUUUGUGUAGGUAGGGAUUCUGUUUCCUGUGUAGUCCUGCAUGUGUAGAUACUUUGCCUGUGCUGCAGCACAGCUGGGUGGCAGGGAGAAAUGGGUGGUGGUAGCAGCUGCAGCUGACCUGCCUUGGACCAGACCUGGGCUAUUUCAGCACACUGCCAGAAAACAUUGCUCUUUCUCUGAACAGAAAACAUUGCUUUGAACAGAAAACAUUGCUGAAUACUCUUGCGGGCAACUACAUUGUAUGCUCCUAUUCCUCAGCUGAUAAAACUUCACAUUAAUAUAAGCCAGGCCGUUGUAAUCUCUAUUAUGACAGGCACUCCAUUCCCCUGAUCCUAGUAGUUUGCUGAACCUAUUCAAGUUCAAACAAAUCUUUCUUGGGCUUGGCCAUGGAUGACCUAAAUUGUACACAGUUUUAUACAUAGCUCCAGAUAAAGCUUUACCAAUUUCUUGGCAUUAGUACUUCCCAAAUACUGGAAAUAACUCACCUCAUAUAUCAUAUAGGUACUUUUUAAACCUUUUCCGCACAGCCAGGGAAAACAAACAAAUCACAGAAUCAUAGAAAAUUAGGGUUGGAAAGGACCUCGGGAGGUCAUCUAGUCCAACCCCCUGCUCAAAGCAGGACCAACCCCAACUAGAUUAUUCUAGCCAGGGCUUUGUCAAUCCAGGCCUUAAAAACCAAACAAAACUAAAUCCAAACCAAAGGUUACCACAAAAGGCAGCUGCUCAUUAGGAAAAGUCAGAAACCAUAAUUAUAUUUGGCUAUGGGACAGGGAACUCCCUGCCCUCAAUGUUUAUCAUAUUUACCAACAAGAACAGACUUACUGUGCCCCCUGAAGUGUUGGCAUAUUUUAAAUGAAGAAUCAAGCAAAGGUAAAUUAUGUGGGUCUUUUUCCUUAGAGAUAAAAAAGGACUUUUGAGAAUCCAGAGACUCUGUCUCCUGAAUUGAAACGGGGCAACUGGGAUUUCUCUGAACAGAGCAAAAUUCUACAUAACAUUUGAAGAACGUCAGAGGUAAAAAACCAACGGUUUCACUUUUUAGGGAAUCAUAAGCAAAGCUGAAGAUAGAGGCAGAUGAAUCCUCAUAUGUGACUUCACCAAGAGGUCUACCCCAACUUGGUAUUUAAGUUACUGUUGGUUAUGAUCUGGUAUUUUUUCCUCCACGAAUUACAGCAGAAUAUGGAGAAUUAAAUCAUAGGAAUACUGGGCGACUACACAUCUACACAGGUGCUUUACUGUGCAGCAGACUAAUUUAUAGCAUCACCAUCUACACAUGCGCCAUUAUUAGUCCAGUGUAAACUAAUUUACUUCACUGUAGGAUAGUCCUGUCAGACACAGGUACUAUCCAAUGGCGGAGUAAAUUCAUGUGAUUAAACACAUGUAUAGACUCUGUGCUCAGGUUAGUUUACUCCAGCUCAAAUUGUACCAAAGUAUAUUUAGUUGUAUUCAUUGCGUGUGCAUUCACAUCCCCUGAGUAGUAAAGACAUCACUGGCUUCAUCCAGCCCAUUAUUUCAUCCAGAGACUUUAAUACCAGUUCAGGGGGACCUUGUUUUUUUGUAACUGGGACUAGAAAAUAGUUUCAUAGUUAGUAGGGUCGGAAGGGACCUAAGCAGAUCACCAAGUCCAACCCUCAGAAAUAAACUUUCAUUCUUAGGCAGCGGGCAAGAAAGAGGGGCUGAGUGAGUAAUUAUAGUAUUAAUAUUAUGGUGGUUACCAGACAGCCCAAGUGGAGGGCCCCACUGUGUACACCCAGAGUAUGAAUUCCUGUCCCAAAGAGUUUCCAGUCAGACAAAAGGAAGGAAAGGGAAACAAAAAUACAAAGGGAAUUGACUUGCUGAAUGUCACGCAUUAGAGCUGGAGAUGGGAUAUAACUCUGUACGUCUGCUGGUAUGAUAUAUUAUUGUCACUUAUUUUGGAGAUGGGACGGAGUUUCUCCCCAAAAUACUGUAGUGUCUGCCCAGCAGUUAGAUUGGCAAAAAUAAAAUUGUCAUGGUACUUAUAACAUCCUAAGAUCUCAUUUCUCUUUCUCCUUAUUCUUCCUUUAGAGUCUCUGGUGUCAGACUGGAACAUGUACAAAGGAAAACAAAUGUCUGGAGAGUCCAAGUGGGUUUCUUGGGAGAGAGAAGUAAAUUUUGAUGCCAAAGACUCCAGUGACCUGAUCCAAUCUCCUUUACCUGGAAGCCUGUGAGGGAAAGUGCUUUACGGUCCACUGCAAAUUAAGGCACCACUGAGGCACAUCCGGGAAGAGUUCAGUGAGUAGGAGAUGAAAAAAUGUGAUUCUGGAUCCAGGCACACGAAACCCCUGGCUUGUCAUGUCUCAUGAUCAGAAAACUGUGAAGUGGCAGAUUUCAGACUUCCAUUUUAAAGAAGAGAUGGCAAAUUCCUAUACUGUGGGCAGUGAAGGAUUCACUUCAGGCAGACAUUACUGGGAAGUGGAGGUGGAAGUGGGGCAGGGUGUAUGUAUUUAUUUAGGAGUUGUUAGAGAGUCUGUGAAGAGAAGAAGAGAGUUCAUGUGCAGCCCUGAGGAGGGAGCCUGGGGUGUGAAUCCAUUGUCUUCCUCUUGCCAAACUCUCACUUUUUCUGUAACUAACAUGCUCUUGCCUUGGAGGUCCAAAAAAAUUGGGGGUUUUCUGGAUUGUGAAGAGAGACAGGUGGCAUUCGGUAAUGCUCAUACAAAGGCUGAAAUUUUUCCUUUUCCAUGAGCCUUCUUUGGUGGGGAGAAAAUCCUUCCUGCCUUCUUUCUUUUUGAACUAAACACAAAAGUCAGACUGUGUCCAUAAGACAUACAGACCUGGGGGAGGGAAUGGAAAGAGAUGGAGGAAACCUCUGUAUAUCUCUUGUCACCUAUGAAAUCAACUUCUGCAGUUUUCCAUUCUAGUCUCUGUAACUUGGAGAACUCCCAAGUUUUUGUAGAAACAUAAAAAUCUGAAAGCAUCCUGGGCAAUGUGUGUCAUAGUUCCCUCUCUGUACUUGAUCCAUGCAGGAUACGAGUCUUCUAUAGCUUUUACCUAUAGAGUAUAGCAGUUUAGUUAAGAUUGAACAGACUAGUGCAUUUAAGUCUGAAGGGUCUGGGUUCUAGCCUCAGUAUACUAGCUAAGAGGAUCGUCCUUUUAUCACCAUAAUAGGAGAGCUCUCCUUGGCUGUAUGUCCUAUUCUGUGGGACUCUGACUGGUUCAGUAAGUGAGGGGAAGAAGACUGACUCAUUUAGAGGCAUUAUCCAAAACCUUGUAUUGUUGAUUCCUUGCAUUUAUAGAAUGCUUUCAGCAUAAGAUAAGGUGUGUGAUUAUGAACUAUAUUCCCGGAAUGCCUUUUACUUAGACUACGUUGGUAUUAAAAUUAUAAUACACAUUUGUGCUAGAUGCAGAAACAUGUGGGAAAGGCAAGACAAGAUGGAUCCUACUGAUGUUCAGCAAGCAUGUACUUUAUACCAGGGCAUAGUUCAGAGAAGAUGUAUUUGGACUUUGCUGAGUUUGAAAUGAGAUAAAACAUAGUUUUUCAAGAUUUUGAGGGAUGCACCUGGCAUAUUUGAUUGGUUUAGCUGUUAUAAACAAGUUUGGAUAAAUGAAGGUGUAUUAGCAGUUUUAAUUAAACUUGUUCCACUCCAAUAGCAGUAUCUACUGCUGCAAUGUACUUUUUAAAAUUGCUAAUGUUUAAUUUUACAUUUUGCUGAUUGAUCUUUUUUUAUAGUUCUAAUUCAUAAUAUGGUUGAUCUUCCUCACUUUGGCCUCUGAAGCCCUUCGAGUUUCUCUUUUAUUCAAGAUAAAAGAAGACAACAGAAAUAGAAAGGUUCCAGGAAUCCCAAAGGCUCAGACACACCAUGUUAGUCUGAUGUCAAUCAGAAGGCAAGGUAGAUAUGUACUUUUAUAGACUAAAGACAACAUAUACAGAUAGAGACACAAGCUUAUGUGAAUGCCAAAGUCACUUCAUCAGAUACAGUGAAUGAUCAAACCAUUAAUAAUUCAUAAUGAAGUGACCUUGGGUUCAUAAAAGCUUGUUCUCUGUUACUUAGACUGUAAAGGUGCUCUUCCUUACUGCUGCAUUUUGUAUUCAGUAUCUUAAAAGAGCAAACUGCAUAUAUGGAGAUUGUAUUCUUGU